UAGGGAAUCUUCCACAAUGGGCGAAAGCCUGAUGGAGCAACGCCGCGUGUGUGAUGAAGGCUUUAGGGUCGUAAAGCACUGUUGUAUGGGAAGAAAUGCUAGAAUAGGGAAUGAUUCUAGUUCGACGGUACCAUACCAGGAAAGGGACGGCUAAAUACUUGCCAC
rnacentral:rRNA from 1 species